rnacentral:rRNA from 1 species
GAUGAACGCUGGCGGCGUGCCUAAUACAUGCCAGUCGAGCGAACAGAUAAGGAGCUUGCUCCUUUGACGUUAGCGGCGGACGGGUGAGUAACACGUGGGUAACCUACCUAUAAGACUGGAAUAACCCCGGGAAACCGGGGCUAAUGCCGGAUAACAUUUAGAACCGCAUGGUUCUAAAGUGAAAGAUGGUUUUGCUAUCACUUAUAGAUGGACCCGCGCCGUAUUAGCUAGUUGGUAAGGUAACGGCUUACCAAGGCAACGAUACGUAGCCGACCUGAGAGGGUGAUCGGCCACACUGGAACUGAGACACGGUCCAGACUCCUACGGGAGGCAGCAGUAGGGAAUCUUCCGCAAUGGGCGAAAGCCUGACGGAGCAACGCCGCGUGAGUGAUGAAGGUCUUCGGAUCGUAAAACUCUGUUAUUAGGGAAGAACAAAUGUGUAAGUAACUGUGCACGUCUUGACGGUACCUAAUCAGAAAGCCACGGCUAACUACGUG